rnacentral:rRNA from 1 species
UACAGAGGUCUCAAGCGUUGUUCGGAUUCAUUGGGCGUAAAGGGUGCGUAGGCGGUGAUGCAAGUCUGGUGUGAAAUCUCGGAGCUCAACUCCGAAACUGCAUUCGAUACUGGCGUGCUUGAGGACUGGAGAGGAGACUGGAAUUCAUGGUGUAGCAGUGAAAUGCGUAGAGAUCAUGAGGAAGACCAGUGGCGAAGGCGGGUCUCUGGACAGUUCCUGACACUGAGACACGAAGGCCAGGGGAGCAAACGGG